UACAGAGGGUGCGAGCGUUAAUCGGAAUUACUGGGCGUAAAGGGCGCGUAGGCGGUUAUGUAAGUUGGAUGUGAAAGGCCUGGGCUUAACCUGGGUAUUGCAUACGAUACUGCAUAGCUAGAAUACAAGAGAGGUAAGUGGAAUUUCCGGUGUAGCGGUGAAAUGCGUAGAUAUCGGAAGGAACAUCAGUGGCGAAGGCGACUUACUGGCUUGAUAUUGACGCUGAGGCGCGAAGGCGUGGGUAGCGAAC
rnacentral:rRNA from 1 species